CCAGAGAGGAGGAUUCAAUAAAAACUGAGUUUAGAACAAAUAUUACUGACAUUCCUUAUUCUCCUUCAUGUGCAGCCAGUGCAAUGGCUGCCUUUCACAGGUAUAGAGAGCGUACCUGAACCUAUUCAAAAGUGGACUCUGAGCACACUUUGUGAACUCUGGCUCUUUGUUACUCUAUGCGACUCUAAACACGUCUUCUUAAAGUUUCAAUUGUGGAUCAAAACUAGAGUCAUCCUCAAAUGGGGAGUGGUGGCCUAGAGGUCAGAGAGGUGGA